CCCUGCAUCACCAGAAGACAAUACACAGUGCAUCAUCCAGGAAAAAAGUUAGACCUCCCAGUUAAACAUGACACGAACAACCACAUUGCUGCUGAUAUCCCUAGGUGUGCUCCUUGCCCUGGUAACAGCACAAUCAAUACCUGGUAAGGAUUUGUUACUAUAAGUAUUAGAUUUUACUUUCUCUAUAUCAAAUCUAUAGUCCCCGGGUAACAGUCCAUUAGUCAAAGUAACAGCUGCUGCUCCGGCCUUAAAAUGGCUUCAGAAUUGUUGUUUCUUUAAAUUGAAACCAUCAUUCCCAAUGAGACUUUCUAUUAGUGGUGACAUUGUAACAUACCAAUAAACCAUUAACUCUCCAUCACAAAACAACAGGUGGGAUAAAGGUAACCAGUGUAUAAUACUAAACUAUUGUACUAUACUGAGUCGAUGAAAGUGUCCAAAGAACAAGAAUGAAUCUUCUAAAGUCUAGUUUAAAGGGUUGUCCAUGUUCACAGCUGAGCCCGGACAUAACCCCUUCUUCCCUCAUUCAGCAUAAAUGAGUGGAGCAUCGGAGCAUUUCACGCUCCAAUGUUUCCCCUUGUCCUGCGGUGCAUAGCGCAGGGCAAGGGCUUUUUCUUUUCCUCCGGUGAGGUAUCGGGUCUCACUAUGGGCAUCCUAGGCAGAGACUUCCACCUAGCAGUGAGCCCGGUGACGUCACCAGCACUAAUGGUCGGUCUUUACUGCUUCCCUAGC